rnacentral:rRNA from 1 species
AACGAACGCUGGCGGCAUGCCUAAUACAUGCAAGUCGAACGAGAUCUUCGGAUCUAGUGGCGCACGGGUGCGUAACGCGUGGGAAUCUGCCCUUGGGUUCGGAAUAACUUCUGGAAACGGAAGCUAAUACCGGAUGAUGACGUAAGUCCAAAGAUUUAUCGCCCAAGGAUGAGCCCGCGUAGGAUUAGCUAGUUGGUGGGGUAAAGGCCCACCAAGGCGACGAUCCUUAGCUGGUCUGAGAGGAUGAUCAGCCACACUGGGACUGAGACACGGCCCAGACUCCUACGGGGGGCAGCAGUAGGGAAUAUUGGACAAUGGGGGAAACCCUGAUCCAGCAAUGCCGCGUGAGUGAUGAAGGCCUUAGGGUUGUAAAGCUCUUUUACCCGGGAUGAUAAUGACAGUACCGGGAGAAUAAGCGCCGGCUAACUCCGUG